rnacentral:rRNA from 1 species
UACGUAGGGUGCAAGCGUUGCCCGGAUUUAUUGGGCGUAAAGGGCGCGUAGGCGGCUACGCACGUCCGUUGUGAAAUCGCCCGGCUCAACUGGGCGGGGUCGGCGGAUACGGCGUGGCUGGAGCAAGCUGGGGGGCAGUGGAAUUCCCGGUGUAGUGGUGGAAUGCGUAGAUAUCGGGAGGAACACCAGUGGCGAGGGCGGCUGCCUGGGGCUUUGCUGACGCUGAUGCGCGAAAGCGUGGGGAGCGAUCCGG